UACGGGGGGUGCGAGCGUUAUUCGGAAUUAUUGGGCGUAAAGGGCGCGCAGGCGGUUGAAUAAGUCAGGUGUGAAAGCCCUUGGCUUAACCAAGGAAGUGCAUUUGAUACUAUUUGUCUUGAGUAUGGGAGAGGGAAGUGGAAUUCCUGGUGUAGAGGUGAUAUUCGUAGAUAUCAGGAGGAAAACCGGUGGCGAAAGCGACUUCCUGGACCAAUACUGACGCUGAGGCGCGAAGGCGUGGGGAGCAAACAGG
rnacentral:rRNA from 1 species